UACGAAGGGGGCUAGCGUUGUUCGGAAUUACUGGGCGUAAAGCGCGUGUAGGCGGGUCUUUAAGUCAGGGGUGAAAUGCCAAGGCUCAACCUUGGAACUGCCUUUGAUACUGAAGACCUUGAGUCCGAGAGAGGUGAGUGGAAUUGCGAGUGUAGAGGUGAAAUUCGUAGAUAUUCGCAAGAACACCAGUGGCGAAGGCGGCUCACUGGCCCGGUACUGACGCUGAGGUGCGAAAGCGUGGGGAGCAAACAGG
rnacentral:rRNA from 1 species